CACGCCGUAAACUAUGCAUACAAGCUGUAGUGGGAUUUUACUCCUGCUGUGGCGAAGCUAACGCAAUUAGUAUGCCGCCUGGGGAGUACGGUCGCAAGACUAAAACUCAAAGGAAUUGACGGGGGCCCGCACAAGCGGUGGAUUAUGUGGUUUAAUUCGAAGCAACGCGCAGAACCUUACCUAGGCUUGACAUCCCAUGACAAACGUAGAAAUACGUCUUUGUAGCAAUACACAUGGAGACAGGUGC
rnacentral:rRNA from 1 species